ACGGCUCAGUAACACGUAGUCAAUCUACCCUAUGGACGGGAAUAACCUCGGGAAACUGAGAAUAAUGCCCGAUAGAACAUUAUGCCUGGAAUGGUUUAUGUUUCAAAUGAUUUAUCGCCAUAGGAUGGGACUGCGGCCUAUCAGUUUGUUGGUGAGGUAAUGGCCCACCAAGACUAUUACAGGUACGGGCUCUGAGAGGAGUAGCCCGGAGAUGGGUACUGAGACACGGACCCAGGCCCUAUGGGGCGCAGCAGGCGAGAAAACUUUGCAAUGUGCGAAAGCACGACAAGGUUAAUCCGAGUGGUUUCUGCUAAAGAAACCUUUUGUCAGUCCUAGAAACACUAACGAAUAAGGGGUGGGCAAGUUCUGGUGUCAGCCGCCGCGGUAAAACCAGCACCUCAAGUGGUCAGGAUGAUUAUUGGGCCUAAAGCAUCCGUAGCCCGUUUUGUAAGUUUUCGGUUAAAUCCAUGCGCUUAACGUAUGGGCUGCCGGGAAUACUGCAUAACUAGGAAGUGGGAGAGGUAGACGGUACUCGGUAGGAAGGGGUAAAAUCCUUUGAUCUAUUGAUGACCACCUGUGGCGAAGGCGGUCUACCAGAACACGUUCGACGGUGAGGGAUGAAAGCUGGGGGAGCAAACCGGAUUAGAUACCCGGGUAGUCCCAGCCGUAAACUAUGCAAACUCAGUGAUGCAUUGGCUUAUGGCCAAUGCAGUGCUGCAGGGAAGCCGUUAAGUUUGCCGCCUGGGAAGUACGUACGCAAGUAUGAAACUUAAAGGAAUUGGCGGGGGAGCAC
rnacentral:rRNA from 1 species